GCAAAGUACAGUGAGAUCCGUAUUACAAACUUCACCAGAAUGUCCAGAGAUUAAACAUAUGGAGCAAAGAUCCUAUGAAACUUAUGAUCCAUUAAGGAUAACAACAUCAAAAAUGAUUCAAAAAAUGACACAUGCAAAGGAAGUGACGUUGAAAGACCUUAAAGAAAAUCAGCAUAUGCUGGUGAAGGAAUCUUACUAUUGUUUUAUGGGAAUAGUUCAAGAGGUCGAAAAUAAAGCAUCAAUAUGAUAUAAUUCCUGUAAAACGUGCUCAACAUCAUGCCCAAAGAAUGUUGAAACUACAAUAUGCAAAAAAUGCAAUGAGGAGAUUGUUGAGACAACACCGAGGUUUAGAAUAACCUUAAAUGUCAUACAAGGAGAUUAUGAUGCAAAUAUUACAAUGUUCGAUGAGGUUACAGCAGUAUAUGUAGGAUGCUCAGUGGAUGAGUAUAUUUCAUCAAUCAGUCACGAUGAAAACGAUUCUGCAUACUAUAGAGGUCUGGCCGCUCCAAAUUCAACAGAAAUGCGGUUUAUGACUACUAUAAAGCAUGCAAAACUCGAUGAUAGGGGAAAGCUAAAUCUUAUAGCAAGUGCAAUCCAAAAGAUAGAAUGUGACCCGAUGAAUGCUGUAAUGAAAUCGAUGGUAACAUCAAUUGAAGAAACAAAAGAUCAUGAAGAAGGAAGGGAAGAAAUAGUUAAGAAGGCACCCAAGACAAAACAAAAAAAGGGAAAGAAAAAAAUAGGGAAGAAGGCCAUGUCAAAUGAAGUGGGAGAAAUAAAAAAAAACAACUAAAAAGACCAAGCAAACUGGAGCGGCAGAGUUACAAGUGCAGCCUCAUGAAGUGCAAGGAAAGGGAAAACGAAAAAUCACAAAAAACGUUCUUCAU